rnacentral:rRNA from 1 species
GGGGAAUUUUGGACAAUGGGCGCAAGCCUGAUCCAGCAAUGCCGCGUGUGCGAAGAAGGCCUUCGGGUUGUAAAGCACUUUUGUCCGGAACGAAAAGGGCGUGGUUAAUACCCGCUGCCCGAUGACGGUACCGGAAGAAUAAGCACCGGCUAACUACGUGCCAGCAGCCUCGGUAAUACGUAGGGUGCAAGCGUUAAUCGGAAUUACUGGGCGUAAAGCGUGCGCAGGCGGUUUCGCAAGACGGAUGUGAAAUCCCCGGGCUCAACCUGGGAACGGCAUUCGUGACUGCGAGGCUAGAGUGUGUCAGAGGGAGGUGGAAUUCCGCGUGUAGCAGUGAAAUGCGUAGAGAUGCGGAGGAACACCGAUGGCGAAGGCAGCCUCCUGGGACGGCACUGACGCUCAGGCACGAAAGCGUGGGGAGCAAACAGG